GAUGGAGCUGAGACCAGUCGAAGAUACCAGCUGGCUGCAACUGUUUAUUAAAAACACAGCACUGUGCAAACACGAAAGUGGACGUAUACGGUGUGACGCCUGCCCGGUGCCGGAAGGUUAAUUGAUGGGGUUAUCCGUAAGGAGAAGCUCUUGAUCGAAGCCCCGGUAAACGGCGGCCGUAACUAUAACGGUCCUAAGGUAGCGAAAUUCCUUGUCGGGUAAGUUCCGACCUGCACGAAUGGCGUAAUGAUGGCCAGGCUGUCUCCACCCGAGACUCAGUGAAAUUGAACUCGCUGUGAAGAUGCAGUGUACCCGCGGCAAGACGGAAAGACCCCGUGAACCUUUACUAUAGCUUGACACUGAACAUUGAGCCUUGAUGUGUAGGAUAGGUGGGAGGCUUUGAAGCGUGGACGCCAGUCUGCGUGGAGCCAACCUUGAAAUACCACCCUUUAAUGUUUGAUGUUCUAACGUUGGCCCCUUACCGGGGUUGCGGACAGUGUCUGGUGGGUAGUUUGACUGGGGCGGUCUCCUCCCAAAGCGUAACGGAGGAGCACGAAGGUUAGCUAAUCCUGGUCGGACAUCAGGAGGUUAGUGCAAUGGCAUAAGCUAGCUUGACUGCGAGCGUGACGGCGCGAGCAGGUGCGAAAGCAGGUCAUAGUGAUCCGGUGGUUCUGAAUGGAAGGGCCAUCGCUCAACGGAUAAAAGGUACUCCGGGGAUAACAGGCUGAUACCGCCCAAGAGUUCAUAUCGACGGCGGUGUUUGGCACCUCGAUGUCGGCUCAUCACAUCCUGGGGCUGAAGUAGGUCCCAAGGGUAUGGCUGUUCGCCAUUUAAAGUGGUACGCGAGCUGGGUUUAGAACGUCGUGAGACAGUUCGGUCCCUAUCUGCCGUGGGCGCUGGAGAAUUGAGGGGGGCUGCUCCUAGUACGAGAGGACCGGAGUGGACGCAUCACUGGUGUUCGGGUUGUCAUGCCAAUGGCACUGCCCGGUAGCUAAAUGCGGAAGAGAUAAGUGCUGAAAGCAUCUAAGCACGAAACUUGCCCCGAGAUGAGUUCUCCCUGAGACUUUAAGUCUCCUGAAGGAACGUUGAAGACGACGACGUUGAUAGGCCGGGUGUGUAAGCGCAGCGAUGCGUUGAGCUAACCGGUACUAAUGAACCGUGAGGCUUAACCUU
rnacentral:rRNA from 1 species